GUGGCUGGCGGCUGGGUGCCUUCUACUGGUGCUGUGCAGAGGCUUUCCCUAAGGCUGCUGUGAGCCUGUAGGGUUUCACCCUAGGCUACUAAGCUGG
rnacentral:pre_miRNA from 1 species